rnacentral:rRNA from 1 species
UACGUAGGGUGCAAGCGUUGUCCGGAAUUAUUGGGCGUAAAGAGCUCGUAGGCGGUCUGUCGCGCCGGCUGUGAAAUCCCGGAGCUCAACUCCGGGUCUGCAGUCGAUACGGGCAAACUGGAGUACUGCAGGGGAGACUGGAAUUCCUGGUGUAGCGGUGAAAUGCGCAGAUAUCAGGAGGAACACCGGUGGCGAAGGCGGGUCUCUGGGCAGUAACUGACGCUGAGGAGCGAAAGCGUGGGGAGCGAACAGG